rnacentral:rRNA from 1 species
UACGAAGGGGGCUAGCGUUGUUCGGAAUUACUGGGCGUAAAGCGCACGUAGGCGGAUGUGCCAGUCAGGGGUGAAAUCCCGAGGCUCAACCUCGGAACUGCCUCCGAUACAGCACGUCUCGAGUCCGGAAGAGGUGAGUGGAAUUCCUAGUGUAGAGGUGAAAUUCGUAGAUAUUAGGAAGAACACCAGUGGCGAAGGCGGCUCACUGGUCCGGUACUGACGCUGAGGUGCGAAAGCGUGGGGAG